rnacentral:rRNA from 1 species
GGAAUAUUGCGCAAUGGGCGAAAGCCUGACGCAGCGACGCCGCGUGAGUGAUGAAGGCCUUCGGGUCGUAAAGCUCUGUCGGGAGGGACGAAAUCUCAUCGGCCAAAUACGUCGAUGACUUGACGGUACCUCCAAAGGACGCACCGGCUAACUCCGUUCCAGCAGCCGCGGUAAUACGGAGGGUGCGAGCGUUGUUCGGAAUUACUGGGCGUAAAGCGCGUGUAGGCGGCUCCUUAAGUCUGGUGUGAAAGUCCGAGGCUUACCCUCGGAAGGGCAUUGGAUACUGGGGGGCUAGAGUACCGGAGAUGAAGGCGGAAUUCCUGGUGUAGCGGUGAAAUGCGUAGAUAUCAGGAGGAACACCUGUGGCGAAGGCGGCCUUCUCGUCGGAUACUGACGCUGAGACGCGAAAGCGUGGGGAGCAAA